GGAGCAACUGGUGGCACACGAUGCCAGUGGGGCUGCCAGGGUGGUUCUUUCCCUUGGAGCAGCCAAGCACUGUGACACCAGUCCCCGAGGCCCCUGCAGCAAUUGUCACCAUCCAGGACAGGAUGUUCUGCACCUGCCAGGUGAGGCAGUGGCUGUCACCCUCCCAGUGGCACUGCCAGCACUGUGUACGUGGGAGCACAGCCCCAACAGCACCAACUGCUCCAUCACGUCCACAGAGAAGUUUAAGCAGAAGGACACCUCGUUUUCCUGGUGGUGACACAUUAAGUGCACGUUCAUCCUCUGGGGAUCGCAGCACUGCAACAGGUACCUCCCAGGCUCAAUGGGAGGGAAGAUUAUCAUCAUUAAUCACUGCUGGGAAACAAGGCACUUCUCCAAACUGCACCCCUGUAUAAUGUAGACACACAGAGCCAUACAUCAAGGGAAUGCUCCCUGGAUGACUCAGCCAGCCAGAGGAGAUAAAGGAAUUGAAAUUCA